AUUGAACGCUGGCGGCAGGCCUAACACAUGCAAGUCGAACGAGUGGCGGACGGGUGAGUAAUGUCUGGGAAACUGCCUGAUGGAGGGGGGUAACUAAUGGAAACGGUAGCUAAAACCGCCUACCACAGGGUUAGCCCAGAUGGGAGUAGCUAGUAGGUGGGGUAAAGGCGCACCUAGGCGACGAUCCCUAGCUGGUCUGAGAGGAUGACCAGCCAAACGGGAACGGAGACACGGGCCAGACUCCGACGGGAGGCAGCAGUGGGGAAUAUUGCACAAUGGGCGCAAGCCGGAUGCAGCCAUGCCGCGUGUAGGAAGAAGGCCUUCGGGUUGUAAAGUACUUUCAGCGGGGAGGCGUUACCCGCAGAAGAAGCAACGGCUAACUCCGUGCCAGCCGCCGCGGUAAUAC
rnacentral:rRNA from 1 species